rnacentral:lncRNA from 1 species
CCGGGCAAAAGCGGGUGUAGCCCCAAUUGUGAACUUAUAUGAUAUCAACCUGAAAUUUAAAUGGUUCUUCAACACAUUCUUGAAAAGCACUAUUAUACAAAAUAGAUGAUAUCUGCCAAUAACUAAGUGGGAAUACUAAGUGAAGAAGUCAAAACCAAAUUAAUAAUCCCAAGUUAAAUAUAGAACUAAACUAACAAAAAGAAUAUAAUCAAAUUGAUUAGAAAUUCAAAAUAGAGUAAAUGCAAAUAACGUAGGUUUCCAUAGGAGACCCCAAGCUUUUCGCUUGUUUUUCUAGUUAUCCGGUACAUCUAUAGAAUAUGGUAUGCAAUCUCCAUGCUCGAGUAAUGCUGAGUCUCGAGUGAGACUCAAUUUUUUGCUCCAAGUGCAUAUGCAAAGGAAAAUAAAAAUAAAAUUAGAGAGUUGGUAUUUAAAAAUAUACUCUAAAUUAAUACUACACAGAAUCAUGCACAUAAGAAAAAAAAAUUAGUCAUGCAGACACACAGAAUGCAUUUACUUCUAUUCUAGUUAGUGAACAGUUACAUCUUCGUUAUUAUUAGCUAAUUUCAUUAUUCGUGAUAGUCAUGGGAACCUUUUAAAGGUUUUUUAGUUACAGGUUAAUUAAAAUGCCCUAAACAUGAUUUUUGCCUAUAUAGAAACUUACUCAAGAAUAGGAAUACGAACAAACCGGGAAUAUUCUUAGCAUUUUGGAUCCAGUGGGUAAGCAUAAAAGGAAAAUAUAUACAUUGAUGAAACACAUAUUAGACCAGAAUAAGGCAGCAUCCAUGAGCACGAUCUCUCAAAUUAUAACCUUAAACUCGAGUCUUUACUAAACUUUAUCAUUCACAGAAACUUCAUUAGAAACACAUUACAUUAUACCUAUGUUCGGCUUCAAAAAUUAAAGUACUGGAUGGAUAAUAUGCUUUCAAGGCAUUAUAAAAGGAAAUCAAACAUAGUAAUUUAUAGUAAUUCUUAAAACUAGAAGAGAUCCCAAGGAAAGGUAAAUUUACAGACCUUUUGCAGGGCAGCGAACAAAGGCGGAUCUAGAUGCACUAUCGAACUCCGACCUCGAACCCGCUUGUACUAACAACUAAUGAAUAUUGAAGAAAACAAAUUAACGGAUCUGCUAUGACUAAAAGAGAACCAAAUAGAAGCUUAAAGGCUGCAAAACGAGCUUAAAGGUGUAGCUCCAAAAGAAAUCCCCCAAAAUAGACACAAAUAGGAUGUAUUUGUAGAUUUUAGGGCUAGGGAACCAUUGAGCAUAGGAAUUGAACUAAUCGUUUAAAUUUUGAACAGAAUCAUUUAAACGUUGGAUCAAAUCUUUGAUGCAGGGACCAAAUCUCAUUUUCUGAAAAGUAAUCUUGGCAUUUUGUUAUGAGCCUUGUUUGACCAAGUUUGAUGAAUAAAGAUUCACUAAAAUGGAAUGAUAUUUUCUAGUCUAGGGAUAAAGAUGUUUGGAGUUUUACUAAAAAUAGAAAAAGAACAAAGUGUCUGCAAUGAGAGAGGGACGAGUCUACAGAGGGGACAAAAAGAAAA